GAGAAAUAGAGGCUGAAAGCGAGGGAGGGAGGGAGAGAAUCCCAAAAGAAAGCCCAGGUCGGGAGGGGGAAGCGGUGUGAGGUUCCCGGGAGAAACAGAAAAGAGAGAAGAAAUCUCUUGGAAGAGGAGGGGGUAAAGAACGCCACACAAAGUGCUUGAGAGCCGGAUCAAUCCAACCUGACAAAAGAGAUCCCGAGGCUGUAAAUGCAAUUCGUUAGUUAACGGUGUCCCUGCAGGAUUUCACAUUCCCAGCUAAGGAAAGGGAAAUGGAUUCUACCUUCGUUCUCCUUCCAACUCUGCAAAACAUAGGAACAGGAGUAGACCAGAUAGCUCCUGGAACUGGUUCCACCCAUUCAAGAGAUCAUGUCUGAUCUGCAACUGAACUCUCUGUAUCUUUGCCCCAUAUCCCUUCAUGUAUUCGGUUAACCAAGGACUGUCAAAUUCAGAUUUAAAAUCAACAGUUCAUCAAACAUCAGUUGGUGUUUGUGGGACAGAGUUCCAAAUUUUUGCCACACUUUGUGUGUAAAAGUAUUGCCUAAUUUCACGUUUGACACUAAUUUUCAGAUAAUGUCUUCCAGUUGUGAACUUGCCAACCAGUGGAAAUACUAUCUUUUCCACUUAAUAUCUUGAUAACUUCUGCCAACCCAUCCAUUAACCUUUAAAUACAGCCCAUGUUUGUAUUAUCUCUCCUUGUGAUCUAAUACUUGGAUCCAGGCAUCAUUCUAAUAAAUCUAUGCUGCUCUUCAUCCUAAAAUGCAGUGUCCAGGACUGCUGACAGUAUUCCAGAUGUGGUUUAACAGUUGCAAUAUGACAUCUAUUCCUUACAUGUAUCAUCCCAUAA